CUCAGUACGGCGAGUGAAGCGGCAAAAGCUCAAAUUUGAAAUCUAGCACCUUCGGUGUUUGAGUUGUAAUUUGAAGAUGGUAACCUUGGGUUUGGCUCUUGUCUAUGUUCCUUGGAACGGGACGUCAUAGAGGGUGAGAAUCCCGUCUGAUGAGAUGCCCAUUCCUAUGUAAGGUGCUAUCGAAGAGUCGAGUUGUUUGGGAAUGCAGCUCUAAGUGGGUGGUAAAUUCCAUCUAAAGCUAAAUAUUGGCGAGAGACCGAUAGCGAACAAGUACAGUGAUGGAAAGAUGAAAAGAACUUUGAAAAGAGAGUGAAAAAGUACGUGAAAUUGUUGAAAGGGAAGGGCAUUAGAUCAGACUUGGUGUUUUACGAUUAUCUUCUCUUCUUGAGUUGUGCACUCGUAUUUCACUGGGCCAGCAUCGAUUCGGAUGGCAAGAUAAUGGCAGUUGAAUGUGGCUUCACUUCGGUGGAGUGUUAUAGCUUCUGCUGAUAUUGCCUGUCUGGAUCGAGGGCUGCGUCUUUUGACUAGGAUGCUGGCGUAAUGAUCUAAUGCCGCCCGUCUU
rnacentral:rRNA from 1 species